UUUUCCACUAGGGAAUCCAACGAGAUCGCGAGCUUCGUGAUUGAGGAUUUCUAUGCGGCUUGUGGUAAUUUGUGAUGGACUAGUUGGAGCACCCCUGCAGGGUUAAAUCUUUCGGAAAGCUGUGCCCGCGGUUAUGUGGCAACGUGGAAACUUUGUUUAACACUGGUUCUAGAUAACUUGAAGUUAACUUAAUUAAAACUUGCCAACUGUGUGCGUAACCGUGACUGUCUCUUUCGUGAGUUCCUUCUCCGAUCGAGGACACGGUGGG
rnacentral:lncRNA from 1 species